rnacentral:rRNA from 1 species
AGUGAACGCUGGCGGUAGGCCUAACACAUGCAAGUCGAACGGCAGCACAGUAAGAGCUUGCUCUUACGGGUGGCGAGUGGCGGACGGGUGAGGAAUAUAUCGGAAUCUACUUUUUCGUGGGGGUUAACGUAGGGAAACUUACGCCAAUAUCGCAUACGACCUACGGGUGAAAGCAGGGGAUCUUUGGACCUUGCGCGAUUGAAUGAGCCGAUGUCGGAUUAGCUAGUUGGCGGGGUAAAGGCCCACCAAGGCGCCGAUCCGUAGCUGGUCUGAGAGGAUGAUCAGCCGCACUGGAGCUGGGACACGGUCCAGACUCCUACGGGAGGCAGCAGUGGGGAAUGUUAGACAAUGGGCGCGAGCCUGAUCCAGCCAUACCGCGUGGGUGGAGGAGGCCUUCGGGUUGUAAAGCCCUUUUGUUGGGAGAGAAAAGCAGCAGGUUAAUACCCCGCUGUUCUGACGGUACCCAAUGAAUAAGCACCGGCUAACUUCGUG